CUUUUUUUUUUUUUUUUUUUUUUGCGCUUUGGGUUAAACACGUGACGUAUUACGCAGUCAGAGCGUAAACACUGCAGUGUGUGGGGGUGGACCGCCCCAAACCAGAUCAAACCACACUUCUCCUAAGGCACACACAUCUAGUUCCUAACAUUAUUUAACCUGCACUAGUGCCAGCCUCGGGAGUGAAAGCUGUCUGACAGUACUGCAUACAGUCUACCUCCUGAUGUCAUCUAACGAUUAUUUCAUGGUCCUUCACUGCUGGAAAUGGCCUUUUCAAUGUAUAAGUCUGAGACAUUGCAGACAAGGAUGAGGAGCGGUCAUGGAGUGCAUACACUACCCCACCCACCCUGCUUCCAGCCCAGACUGAAAAAAACUCAGCGGCCCAGGAACACCACAGGUGACGCUCUGUUUAACUGACAGGCACUAAGCAAACAUCUCAGAAGAACAUCUCAGUGCCAACCCAGUACCCCGUUUUGGAAUUUUCUGUCUUUCUUCAGAAAUACUCACAAAAUCAUAUAUUGACUUUAAAAAAAAGCUGGAUGAUAAAAGUGUUAAUUCUUCUCUCCCUGUGUUACUGCUCCAGUUACUCUCUCUCUCGUGUGCUUUUGAGGCUAAGCCUUGGCACGAUCUAUGACAAAUGCAGUGACAGACGGAGAGAGAGAGAGAGAGAGAGAGAGAGCGAGAGAAAGAAACAGAGCCACAAAUAGACCCGUCCCCCUGCCCACAGGAGAGCUACAGCUCCACUUCUGCACACACUCGCCUCUCAUUUUGCAUGUGCCCUGGGGCCAAUAGAAGUUAGUGGAGAACCGCUGGGAAAUUAAAUUUGAAAUUAUUCGAUUAUCACACACAACAGAGCCCAAGGAAGAGACACAUCCAUAACACAUUUUUUUAAUAAACUGAUUUCACUUAGAAAUUUCCCUUUUCUAAUACUGUCAAUACUGUACUGCUUGACUGAUCAUUAAUUUCAUGUUCAUUAUGAAAAGUAAAUAUAUUAUGUAUAAAAUAUUAGUAUAAACCCCCACAAAAUAUUUCUGUUUUUAUGUACUUGUUUUGUAACUAACAGGGUAUCUAACAGGGCAAUAUAAAAUGUUAGAGGUGCAAAAAAAAAGAAAAGAUAUCAUGUGUUACUAAUAGCUAAAAUCCUGGCAGUGAUAAGGAGGAGAUGGAAGAAUUCCUUCACUCCUCCUCAUGUAGGACACAGACAGCAUUGGGAUUAAGGUAUCUACCAUCUGAGCCUUAGACUGAUCCAGGAUCAGCACAUCAGCACAUCUUCCAGGCUCCUCUAUAAACGUGAAAUAGAAAAGCUAAUUUUAAAUCCCCAUAAUGAUAUUUAGCUUGUUAGGCUCUUCCAGUUCAGCUGUGAUUGCUGGCAGAAAAAAGCUCAUAAUAAUUUUCUACUGAUGAUCAGAAGGAGCCCUGAGUGGUAAAGUCUUCAGUCAUCUUGACUUACCAUUCCUUACCAUUCAGAGUGGCCUGACAUUCACAGACAUAAUUUUGUCCUCCAAAUUCACAUUGCAUUAGUUCUGUGCAUAACACAGACAGGCUAACUUGCCAGUGUGUCACAUUAUAUUGAUGGACGAGAGUGUUUUUUUCUGCCUGACUCUUUGUUUCUGUUCUUGCUCUGAUAUUUUGGCAGGCAGGUUGUGUUCUUGUGGACAGGCAACCUCUUCCUAGACAACACAGCUACCCUGUCCUUGGGUUGGCUUCAUGUUCACACACACACACAUAAACAGCGUCGCUUCAGAGGUCCAUGUGACCAGGCGAGCCAGGCAAGUUAACGUCUGGCUCCUAUAAAGGCCGUCUUCUUCAGUCGAGAGGAUAAGAUCAGCCGAGGGUCGUGUCUCAGGUUUCCAUGAAAGGAUUAAAAAGUAAACAACUGAGAAUUUGAGCCAAUCCCUCUUUAAGGAGAUACACGUUUCACCGAAAGCACGGUGUAUACCUCUCUGAGGCCCUCGAUAAUGAUACUAUGGGAACAAAGUUGACUUCAUUCAUAUGUAAUGUGUCUGUGAUUGUUCAGUCUUUCAUGGACAUGAGAGCAGGUUUUGUCCAUAAGUUGUAUAUAAAUAUCCUCACAUUUUUACAAAAUAACAUUUUAGCUAAAAACACUGCAUCUGCUGUAAUUUUCAGACAGGAAUUUGAUUGUGUUACCCUAUAAGUGUUUGAUAGGCAGAUAUGCUGAUUACUGACUUGGCCUACAACUUGGCCUUAGGGUGGGAAACUGUCAGGGCAAUCCAGAGGGAAAGGAGCAAUAUUCAGCAGCAAGUGCAAGCAGGUUCAAACCUGCCUUGCUGUGCAUUAUUAAAAGCCUCUACAUCACCUGCACAAUUACCAGAAAUAUAACACACUCACAAGGAGGGAAGAAAAUGUGUACGCCUGUGCAAAUGUAUCAUAUAAGACAUAAACUCCAGGUAAUACAAAAACACAGUGUACACAAUCUAAGAAAGCACCGAAUUAUAGACAAGAUAUAAGAUAUAAGACAAUAUACUAAUAACAUAUUAUAGAUAAACAUUUAAUGCAUUAACAGACUUAUGCAAAUCAAAGGAUUCAUACAUUCACUUUCAGUAACUGCUUUAUCCUGGUCAGGGUUGUGGCGGAGCUGGAGCCUAUCCCAGGAAUGCUGGGUGUAAGGUGGAAAAACACCAUGGAUGGAACACAAGUCCAUCACAGAACACCAUGCACACACAUUCUCACCUGGGGACAAGAGUAGCCUAACCGGAGAACCUGAAAGAACCCUGUGCGGGCACUGUGAGAACAUGCAAAAUUCUGCACAAGGAGUAACCAGAGCUGAGGACUGAACCAGGAACCCUGAAACUAAGAGUCUCAUAUCUCUUCUGCAUAGCUGCAUAUUCCCUACAGAAAAGAUCUGACUCCACGGAGAGAACAUCCUGAGGAUAUUGGCUACAGAAGAAAGGACUUUUAAGGCUCUUGUCAAAACAUUUGACAAUAAAAUGCAAAGAACGCAAACACUUAGACACAUUGGGUAAGGUUGGGGUUGUUAAGGUUGGGGAAUUUACUAUGUCUUGUGACCAUAUGGAAUUCAUUUAAACAUAUCUUUAAUUUGGCUAGUAGCUUUAUCCUGUCCAAGGAGCUAAAAUAACUCUGUUGGCACGCUGCUUUCUGAGUGAUGUUUUUGUUACAUUCAGGGUUGAUCCAAGGUCAGGUUUCCCAUAAUGCAUUCUUGAUAGUGUUGCUGGUUCCAGAUCUGUAUGCAUGACUCUCAAUCUAAUUUUUUAAAAAAGAGACACUGCAGAAAUGUCAGAUCAGCUCACAUCUCUGCAAGGUUUAUUACUCCUAUGCAACUGCAUAGACAAAAUUACUCCUAUCUAGCUCUUGUUGUAGGUAUCGACCAAAAUCCCUGAGGAACAAUAUCAAUAUAUCAACUACGAAACAAUACAGUAAACUUAUAAUGUGACUAAUCAUUUUGCACGAAGGAACAAAUUAGAUAUUUUGUAAUUACAACCUUGACAGGCCACUGUGUACACUGUGAAUGUUAAAGUUGUAUCAUAUAAAGAUAAAAUUUCUCACACAAAUAUCAUUACACACCUGGCAACACUGGAUUAGCCUCCAUUUCCAAGGUCCAUUGUUUAAACAGGUGGAGCCAAGAGCUAUGUGUUUUAAUGAAAGCAGUGUGUUCAUCCUGGGAAACUCAACAAGCUGCAAUAUAAUACUAAUACCUUGAUGAUGUACUAGAUCCAAUGAAAAAUAAAGUGUGAAUUGCGCAACACUUUUUGCACUCGUGGUUCGCAUCCUGCUCUACGGAUGAUAAGAGAAGAAGCCAUCAGUCUCCAUGAGGCUUGAAAUCUUCUAAAUGGACAAUGUACCAAGUGAGAACACUGUUUCACCACUAACACAAACAAGGAGCAAAACAUUUAGGAUGAACAUUUUGGAUUUCGAAAGUAGUGGUGUCCUUGUGAAGGAGGCUGUCCUUGUGAAGUUCAGUGAGGUUAGAUGUACAUGAUGUGCAUAUACAUGAUGUCCAUAAUGUGUGAUUUGAGACAUAUUUCUCAAUUUCUUUUAGUAGUAUUAACCAGUUUGUAUAUUUUAAUAGUGUUUCCAUGAUUGUGGUGCUAUUUAACCCUUUAAAAAUCAUUUUUAUAGUGAAUAUAAGAAAACUGUGGGGUUACCCAUUCAGAAAUGUGUUAAUCCAUCAGAGACAACCAUUUUUACAAGGUUUCUUUUCUGAUAAUGCUGUUACAUUUUGCUGUCAAAUGUACAAAGUAAAAGGGUUGAGCUUUUAGCAUAGAAUUAGUAUAAACGUGUUCUCUCUUUUUUUUAAUUACUAACUUAUUUUCAUGUGUAAUUUUGGUGACAGGUUGUAUUUUCAAAGCUAUCUCGUCAGUCAGUAUAACAAUAUCAGUGAAAAUAAAGAACAAAUUAUGAGAGAAUGCACUUUUCUUCUGCCGCUGAUUUUUCAGGGGAAAUUCGGACUUUGCUACUUCCUGUUGAACAUGUGACCUGUGGAAUAUUCCAAACAUUUCAUAGGGGUGAAUGUGUUCAGCUAAACGUGUUGAAUGACAGUUGUGGGACUGAAAUGUGCCUAUAAUGGAUAAAAAGGAUGUUUCAAGCAUAAGAUGUCACACAUUCAUGCAAAAAAAUAAUGUUUUUUUAUUAAAUAUUUUGAUAAUUAGUUGUAGUAGGAUGGGAGAGGCAAAAAUUCUGUUUUCUAAGUGUUGCAGUGUAGAAGGACACUUUGCCAAUGCUUAAUAUGGCUUUUACUUUUGUUUUGGAUAAAUAAUUGUAAAUGUAAUAUCAGUGGGACGGAUAACGCACCCCAGUCGUAGAAUCACCCCAUCAUACAUCUUAUCUUCCUUGAAACCACAGACUGUAUAUAAGAUACCGUAUAGAAGACACGGUCUAUAGGUGAAACACCGAGAGCGCCCCCUCACAGGAAACCGGUUUAGUCCUGUACAGCACUUUAAAAUGUAGCGCGGUCACGUGGCGCGGCGCCUUCACAAACCAACCUACUGCUGUUCUGCCUCAAAUUCCUUUACAUAACGUUUCUAAUCAGAGCUGUGGCGGAAAGCCAGCACAGCGCACCCUCAGUUAACCUCUGUGUGUGAAGCGACAGCUCUGCUUCUCUGUCUUAUCCCUGAAUUAAAAGCGACAGGAGACUCGCUCUCCUCUACUCUCCACCGGCUUUGUUUGAGCAAGCAGCCUGGCACUGGAACUCGGAUCCUCUCCAGUAUCUACAGACUCUAUGGCUGAAUGAAUCAUGUGGACCUGUGAUCAAAACAUGCCGUGCUAUAAACAGCCAUUCACUUAUUUUUGUAAGGUGAAACAGCACACCAAAUCCUCGAAUGCCACUCUGGUAGCCUACAUACUGCCUAGUGUGCAACUGUACUGCGAUCAGGUUGCUUUAAACGAGAAUCAGCUUCACAUCUCUGCAUUUCUGUAAGCUCAAGUAGUGUGGAGUGUUUCAGGGCAAAAUAAUGAGACUGCUACAAAUAGUGAACGCACCAUGGCAGAGCACAUCCAAGUUUAGGAAGUUACAUAAACAGGCCCACAUUAAGGACAAAGUGAGCUAAGCCAGGCAGUCCUCAUAAAUCAUAAUAAAAAAUGAAAUAAGAAAAAAUAAUCUACGGGUAUAAGCUUGAAAUUUUAUUCGAGAUACUGUUUAGUAUGUUUUGAGUAGAGGAAAU